CGAAUUUAUACAGACGUAAGAGUGCGGUGCAAACCGCCUAAAAUUUUCGGUACCAUGUUUUCUUCUUCUUGUUGGGCAGCUUUUUUUCGAGGGGGCUAGUUAUUACCAUUUUGCGGUAGUUUUUUACGCAUUGGUUUACCCCUCUCACAAGCUUUUGACAGUUUUUCGCCGAUUUCGCCGCACAAAAAAAUCUUGUUUUGUUUACCUUUUUUGAUGGUGCGUGGUCCGCUAAUCGCUCUUCGGUGGAUGAGAAUCCGAUCCGGUGCCCCGGUUCUGGGAGGACGGCCAGAAGGACAUUAAUGUCGUAAGGUGUUAUCACCGGAUGUGCACACAAGGGCCAGCGAAUCGUCCCGGAGAUUGUUAAAGAUCAAUGAUAAUGGGCAAACUCUUCGGUGUAUCCGUGGUAGAAGAAGUCAUCCAUUCACCUGCGGUAUUGGAGCAUAUUGUAGAAGCACCGGCUGAACCACCUAGAACGAUUGUUCCGGUAAGCUCGCCUUUCGCAGUGGAUGCCAUCGAUAGCGAUUCUGCUGAAUUCCAUUCCGGACAACAAUCGUGGUGAGCUUUCAAUGCCAAGACACCUCACUGACCAUGUAUGGUGAGUCUUGAACCGGAAUGUGAUCAAAUCAGGAACUCAUCCCACAAAAAAAGUAUGUUGCACGUGUCAGUUCUUCACUGAUAACGGUCGCCGGGUGUGGAUUACGGAAACGAUAAGAUUCCCCUACAACACCGUUCAACAUUACAAAUCACUCGUGAUACUCAGUUUUAAUCGAUUCGCAACAAGUUUAUCCAGAUGGAGCAUCAUGAAAUAUGGCAGGAGGCGGUUCGUCAAGCAGAUGACACCCAGUAACUUCCAUUGGAGGUCCGUGAAAAUCGCUUCCAGGAGUUGCUGUAUGCAGAUCGUGCUAAACCGAAGCUACCCGACUGACGACGGCCCAAAAGCGUUUCUGUGGGCUAUCACAGGACGAAUCGUACGAAUCUGGCGCCCGAAAGCGACACCGUUCCCGCACCCUAGAGAGUCCCGCCUACGAGCCGCUUCCAAUUUCUCCAACAGCACCGAAAUGACCUGGCUGAAACGGCCAGUGGCACCACCAGCGAUUGUGAGGAUAUCACCGAAAUGGUGGAAUUCGACAAGAAAAUUUACACCAGCUUCCUGAACAUUACGCGCGAAUGUCAAACGGAAACCGAAUUGGACAAAAAGCUACAGAAGAUAUGUGUGCCCUCUGGAUGCAUGCCAUUGCUAAUGGCGUCAGAUUGUUCAGCCGUCUACGCUCACAGGCUUUACGGCGGUUGGGACCAGAUUCCGUCACAGGAAUUUGGAAUCGACGGGGGUCAAGAAGGUAAGCUCUCCGAGCGGAUCCGCGCUGGUUAAAAAAGCAAUGGACCCAAACGUGGUACGAGAUUGAUGGCGCUGAUGUCCUUGGACAUCCGAUUCAUUUUCGAUCUAGAGACGAAAUACUUGAAGGGCGUGCCACUGAGAGGAUUGAUGUGCAUAGAUUGCUCCGUACGAUUUGGUAAGGUGCUGCAAUCAGUAUCAUCUAGGUGAGUUCGAUAACUAUGUAUAAGGGUAGAUCAACGUUGUAUGGGAGAAAUAAAAUUUGAAAGCCC